rnacentral:lncRNA from 12 species
CCUGCCUGUGCAUUCCUGCCUGCUCUCAAGUCUGUGCUCCCACAGAUCCUGUGAGUGCCCCCGCUCCCCUUGGGCCGUCAUACUUACUGUAAGCUCAGUCGGAGUGGGUUUCCUUUGCUUGACACCAAAACCAUAACGGCUACAUCGUUGUUUUAUAUUUUAUUUUAUUACUUUAUUUUUUCAUUGUUGCUUUUUAAAACUUAGACAUCUUUUUCCUUAAAAGUGAUAGAAUUAGUCCACCUCCAAUGGCAUCUUACACAGAACCUCAUUAAAUAAUGCAGGGGAAAUUGGAGCUGGUCUGGUGAGUUAUCUGGUCUUCCCUCCGCCUCAUUACGUAUAACCCAUUUCCCACACCAGCGCCUGAGAGGAGCGUAAGGCCUCAGGAAGCCCAUUUAUAACCACUAGCUUCAAGUACUGUAGGCACCUGUUAAAUUGUAACCUGAAGGUAGACUGUGUGAAACCAUCAUCAGGCAUUCAUACCUUAUUUGGAAGGGAUUUAUAUGAUUUCCUGCCCAGUGAGCAAUCAGAUAUCCAAAGGUGAGGAUAUAUCUUGGAAGCAGAAGCAAGUUAGGAAAAGGUUCAGGGCAUUGGACCCAGCCUUUGGGGGCAGUCUUUGUUUGUGAUGGUUUUGAGAAUGACCUUUCCCCAUCUUCCAGAAGCAAGCAGCAUAAGGCUUGGCAGGAAGGUACGAGUCCUGGGAAGGAUAUACCUACACCUGGGGUCACGACUUCAAAUGCCUGCAAUGCCAGUUUUAAACUCUUCUGGAUGGAUGCUGGGCUACGUGAUCCCACUCAGCUGGAGAGCCUCUGGGAUGAAUGGGCCAAUUCCAGAGCCACUGCCGAUAAUCUGCAAGGCAGAAAAUCCAAUUAUGGUUUUCAUCGCCAUGUGUUCGACUUUAGUGUCCUCGGAUCUAAGAAUUAUACACGUCAGCAUGUAUUUUUGCAGAUAAUGGGUGCAUUGUCUGGAGCUAUAGUGAAGUUCUCUCCGUGCUAUUCACAUGAUGGACUGGCGCUUCUCUUCAUGUGAACGCACCACGAGGGGAACAUCUUGCUAGCAGCAUCCAGAGCCUUCUCUCUGUAGUCUGAACGACUGCUGUGGAUUGGGGAUCUUGUCUCUCCCCGUUCGCGGAGGAUUCUGAGGAGCUGGGAGCUGGCAGCCCAAAUUCUCCCUUGAUGUCUCCCCGCGUAGCUGAGAUCUUAAACAGAGUUGGAACUGUUUCUUUUUGCAAUCUCUCUGUACCCUCCUGCCCUGUUCCCCUGGCCCCGGACCGUGGGUUUCACUCCCAUUUUUCCUAUCCUCACCCGCCGCUGAGCCGUAAGUAAAAUAUUCAGAAGUGGAGGUAUUCUGGGGUGGCGUGCUCUCUUCAACUGGGACCCUAAUUUCCCCCUUCAAUUUACUUUUUGCACAGCUUGAUACGCAUCAGUGGCACUAAAUAAAUAAGCCAUAAUUAAUACA